GGCUUGGUGCUGCUGCUGCUGCUGCAGCUGUCGGCUCUCACAGCCUUCAUUCGUGGGGUUGGGGGGGGGGCUUGCAGCGCCUCCAGCUACAGGAAGCCCUGUGUGAACGGAUGCAGAACGUGACUGUCGGCUUUUCCUUUUCGUGGUUCAUCUCUGCCAACACAACAGCAGAAAAGGAGAAACAACCGUUUUGUCCGCCAAACACGAGCCACAGUUGGAAUCCUCAGCUUCAGAGCAACUCAAAAGGAAAAUCUGUGGAGGCUUUCUUCAUAAAAGGUGAAGGUUCAUCAACGUUUUGACCUCAUUCGUGGCUGAAAACGUCAGCGUCAUCUGAAGUCUCACUGAAGCCUUCAGCUUUCACCCAGAGAGCAUCUCUGACGGACAAACCAGCAGGCUCCUGGGAGAUUUGUAGAAAUAAUAAAAAGGUGGAAUCUAUUUACUCCUGUUAUUCUGACAUAUGGAAUAAAAUGUGCU